GAUGAACGCUGGCGGCGUGCCUAAUACAUGCAAGUCGAGCGAACAGACGAGGAGCUUGCUCCUCUGACGUUAGCGGCGGACGGGUGAGUAACACGUGGAUAACCUACCUAUAAGAAUGGGAUAACUUCGGGAAACCGGAGCUAAUACCGGAUAAUCUAUUGAACCGCAUGGUUCAAUAGUGAAAGACGGUUUUGCUGUCACUUAUAGAUGGAUCCGCGCCGCAUUAGCUAGUUGGUAAGGUAACGGCUUACCAAGGCGACGAUGCGUAGCCGACCUGAGAGGGGGAUCGGCCACACUGGAACUGAGACACGGUCCAGACUCCUACGGGAGGCAGCAGUAGGGAAUCUUCCGCAAUGGGCGAAAGCCUGACGGAGCAGCGCCGCGUGAGUGAUGAAGGUCUUCGGAUCGUAAAACUCUGUUAUUAGGGAAGAACAAAUGUGUAAGUAACUAUGCACGUCUUGACGGUACCUAAUCAGAAAGCCACGGCUAACUACGUG
rnacentral:rRNA from 1 species